rnacentral:rRNA from 1 species
GGAUUUAUUGGGCGUAAAGCGAGCGCAGGCGGUUUGAUAAGUCUGAAGUUAAAGGCUGUGGCUCANCCAUAGUUCGCUUUGGAAACUGUCAAACUUGAGUGCAGAAGGGGAGAGUGGAAUUCCAUGUGUAGCGGUGAAAUGCGUAGAUAUAUGGAGGAACGCCGGUGGCGAAAGCGGCUCUCUGGUCUGUAACUGACGCUGAGGCUCGAAAGCGUGGGGAGCGAACAGGAUUAGAUACCCUGGUAGUCCACGCCGUAAACGAUGAGUGCUAGGUGUUGGGUCCUUUCCGGGAUUCAGUGCCGCAGCUAACGCAUUAAGCACUCCGCCUGGGGAGUACGACCGCAAGGUUGAAACUCAAAGGAAUUGACGGGGGCCCGCACAAGCGGCGGAGCAUGUGGUUUAAUUCGAAGCAACGCGAAGAACCUUACCAGGUCUUGACAUCCCGAUGCUAUUUCUAGAGAUAGGAAGUUACUUCGGUACAUCGGUGACAGGUGGUGUAUGGUUGUCGUCAGCUCGUGUCGUGAGAUGUUGGGUUAAGUCCCGCAACGAGCGCAACCCCUAUUGUUAGUUGCCAUCAUUCAGUUGGGCACUCUAGCGAGACUGCCGGUAAUAAACCGGAGGAAGGUGGGGAUGACGUCAAAUCAUCAUGCCCCUUAUGACCUGGGCUACACACGUGCUACAAUGGUUGGUACAACGAGUUGCGAGUCGGUGACGGCGAGCUAAUCUCUUAAAGCCAAUCUCAGUUCGGAUUGUAGGCUGCAACUCGCCUACAUGGAGUCGGAAUCGCUAGUAAUCGCGGAUCAGCACGCCGCGGUGAAUACGUUCCCGGGCCUUGUACACNCCGCCCGUCACACCACGAGAGUUUGUAACACCC